AGAGUUUGAUCCUGGCUCAGAUUGAACGCUGGCGGCAUGCUUUACACAUGCAAGUCGAACGGUAACAGGCCGCAAGGUGCUGACGAGUGGCGAACGGGUGAGUAAUGUAUCGGAACGUGCCCAGUCGUGGGGGAUAACGCAGCGAAAGCUGCGCUAAUACCGCAUACGAUCUAUGGAUGAAAGCGGGGGACCGUAAGGCCUCGCGCGAUUGGAGCGGCCGAUAUCAGAUUAGGUAGUUGGUGGGGUAAAGGCUCACCAAGCCAACGAUCUGUAGCUGGUCUGAGAGGACGACCAGCCACACUGGGACUGAGACACGGCCCAGACUCCUACGGGAGGCAGCAGUGGGGAAUUUUGGACAAUGGGCGCAAGCCUGAUCCAGCAAUGCCGCGUGCAGGAAGAAGGCCUUCGGG
rnacentral:rRNA from 1 species